UACGUAGGUGGCAAGCGUUGUCCGGAAUUAUUGGGCGUAAAGCGCGCGCAGGCGGUCCUUUAAGUCUGAUGUGAAAGCCCACGGCUCAACCGUGGAGGGUCAUUGGAAACUGGGGGACUUGAGUACAGAAGAGAAGAGUGGAAUUCCAGGUGUAGCGGUGAAAUGCGUAGAUAUCUGGAGGAACACCGGUGGCGAAGGCGGCAUCCUGGACCGACACUGACACUGAGGAGCGAAAGCCAGGGGAGCAAACGGG
rnacentral:rRNA from 1 species